CUGAGUCUUACACCCUGAGGUCUGAUCUUGGAUUUAGUGGGGCAUCCACCUAUUCUGCUCAGGAGUGUUGGCACUCUGACCACAUAGGGUCGACUGGAGCUGUCAUCUCUCCUCUCUGGCACCCAAGUAUCUGUGUCAGCUUGGUAGGUGCCACAAGCCAGACAUGGUCACCUGGAGGAGGGGGACAGCCAUACCCAGCAGGGGCUGAGGGCCCAGUGACAGCCCUGGAAAGGUAGCUGUUCAUGUCCACAGUCCAGCAUCUCUGCCCCAUGAACUCUGCAGACUUAGAGGAGAGCCUUGCCUGUGAGAGUUGGGCUGUGCCUGAUGGGACCCGCUGGAAAGAACCUCAAGAGGAGCCUUUCUCCCCCGCCCCGACUCUAUU